UACGUAGGGUGCGAGCGUUAAUCGGAAUUACUGGGCGUAAAGCGUGCGCAGGCGGUUCUGAAAGUCAGCUGUGAAAGCCCCGGGCUUAACCUGGGAACUGCGGUUGAAACUACAGGACUAGAAUCUGGCAGAGGGGGGUGGAAUUCCACGUGUAGCAGUGAAAUGCGUAGAGAUGUGGAGGAACACCGAUGGCGAAGGCAGCCCCCUGGGCUGAGAUUGACGCUGAGACGCGAAAGCGUGGGGAGCAAACAGG
rnacentral:rRNA from 1 species